GAUGAACGCUAGCGGCGUGGAUAAGGCAUGCAAGUCAAACGGUUCGCUUCGGCGAACAGUGGCGAACGGGUUAGUAACACGUAGAUACACGCCCUCUACACAGGCAUAGUCCCGCGAAAGCGGGACUAAUUCCUGAUAGUCCCUACCUUCGGGUAGGGUAAAUGGUUUCGAGCAAUCGAUUCCGGUAGAGGAAUGGUCUGCGGCUUAUCAGCUUGUUGGUGAGGUAAUGGCUCACCAAGGCUAUGACGGGUAGGGGAUAUGAGAGUGUGUUCCCCAACAAGGGCACUGCGACACGGGCCCUACUCCUACGGGAGGCAGCAGUCGAGAAUAUUCGACAAUGGGCGAAAGCCUGAUCGAGCGACGCCGCGUGCUCGAAGAAGCCCUUCGGGGUGUAAAGAGCUUUUCUGGAGGAAGAACCUUCGGGUGACGGUACUCCAGGAAUAAGGAGAUGCUAAUCACGUGCCAGCAGCAGCGGUAAUACGUGAUCUUCAAGCGUUAUCCGGAUUUAUUGGGCGUAAAGCGUCCGUAGGCGCACCGCCAGGUUUUCUGUUAAACCCUAGGGCUCAACCUUAGAACUGCAGAAAAAACCGGCGGAGUAGAGGGCGUUAGAGGCUGAUGGAACGGUCGGUGUAGGGGUGAAAUCCGUUGAUAUCGACCGGAACACCAAAUGCGAAGGCAUUCAGCUGGGGCGGCCCUGACGCUGAGGGACGAAAGCGUGGGUAGCAAAAAGAAUUAGAUACCCUUGUAGUCCACGCUGUAAACGAUGGACACUAGCUAUUUGAAGUGUCGACCCUUCAAGUGGCGAAGCUAACGCGUUAAGUGUCCCGCCUGGGAAGUACGACGGCAACGUUAAAACUCAAAGGAAUAGACGGGGCUUCACACAAGCGGUGGAUCAUGUGGCUCAAUUCGACAAUAAGCGAAGAACCUUACCAGGGCUUGACAGACUAGUGAAAUCCCGCCGAAAGGUGGGACUCCCACAAGGCACUAGUCCAGGUGCUGCAUGGUUGUCGUCAGCAUGUGCUUUGAAGUGCUCCCUUAAAUGGGGUAACAUGCGCAACCCUCGCUCUAUGUUUUACGUGUCAUAGAGAACUGCCCGAGAUAAUUGGGAGGAAGGUGAGGAUGACGCCAAAUCAGCAUGGCCCUUUGACGCCCUGGGCUGCACACAUGAUACAAUGGGAUCGACAAUGGGCGAAGCCGCAAGGCGGAGGUAAUCCCAUCAAACGGUCUCUAAGUUCGGAUUGAGGUCUGAAAUUCGACCUCAUGAAGUCGGAAUCGCUAGUAAUCGCCAAUCAGCCAUGUGGCGAUGAAUAUGUUCCUGAAGCUUGUACUCACCGCCCGUCACAUUAAGGAAGCCGGCAGUAGCCGAAGUC
rnacentral:rRNA from 1 species